GCCUCACGAAGAGGCCCUGUGAUGCUCAGGGCUUCUCUGUGACACUGAGAUGACCAGCGUCAGCCCGGAGUCCACGGAUGUUAUGAGGGGUCUGUGACCCGUGAAUCAAGUCGGAGGCCCAUUUGUUGCCCAGGAGCUCCUAAAAUUCCUGGGAAUUUCCUGAGUGAUGUGAGAAGAUCGCCUGUUGUUAUUCCUAACAAGACCAUUUCAGCCUGAUGGGAGUUUAUACUAACAGGAGGGGAGGAGCCUGAGACUGACUGAGUCCUGCUUCCCCAUGUCCUAUGGCACUGCUUGAAGGAACUGCCCAGAUGCCCAGCAGUGUCUUCUGUUUAACAGCACUGGACCUCAUGUUGAUAUCUGCCUGCCACAUCAUCCGUCUGGGCUGGACGCUGUGUGAGCCGACACCUGCCCUCAGCACUCACCAAGCUCAGAGCCUGGGACAGAAGCAGCUGGACAAGAUGGAGCAUGGCCAUUGCUGCAGUGAGAUUGUGUUUGAAUGCAUGUGCAUGCACUUGAGCUGUGUGAGCACACAUUUUCUGGAAAGUCAUGGAUGUAUGGGGACCCCCAGGGGAUGCUGAACAGUAGAGCCUGUCAGUGUCCCAUACCCAGGCCGAGCUCAGUGGUGACUCCCAGAGUUGUAUCUCCUGAGGCUGAUAUCGAACCUCUUAAUCUCAAAUUCGUGUGUGCAAUGCACAAUAAGCCAAUCACUGAGACACUGGUGCUUGGAGAUAGAGAAAGUUUUAUUAUUUGAAUUGACCAAAACAAGAAGGUAGAAAGAUAGGUUCUCUCAACUCCACCUUAACUAAAGAAGAAAGCAGGGGGCUUUAUAGAGCUAAGGGGCUUGGGAGGAGGAGUUUCAGAGAAACAAAGGGGAGAUCUGUGUUUCUUUCACUCCAGAUAAGCCCUUGGGCAAUUUGGUGUCAAAGGCAGCUGAGGGCUGGUGUUCUGGCGGUCAUAACUUCCUUGAAGGCAUUCUUUUUCUUCAGCAAAACAAGCUCAUAAAUCCUUGUGACCCUUAAGUCACCCCUCAGGUUAAACAAGAAAACAGCAAAGUAACAAGAUGAACUUCUUUUCCUCUGUGUCUGUGUUGGGAACAAGGUCAAAGAGUAAUCAUGUGCCUAUUGAAUAUUUACAGUGACCCUCAGGAACUCAGCUUCAAGGCUGGAUUACUGUUGGGGCUGGAAAUGCCCUCUCCUGAGGCUGCAUUCAGCUCCAGGUGGCCCUCUGGAGGGGUUUGUCCCCCACUGGUGGGAAGUUCCGUGGCUCAGGCCACCUUUCCAAAUGAGUGUUUAUUCACAAGAUAAAAUCUCCAGCACCCAGAGAUCUCCGCCCUUCUGCCGCACAGCAACAGCACGCCUCCCUCCGGCCUUGGCCUCAGGCCUCAGCCCAAGGCCUGGAUGCACUUCCUCCGAGGGAGAACCAUGUCCCCCGCUGCACUGCCACCUCUGUUACCAAGCACUGGGCUCGCUCUGCUCGCUGCGACCAGAGCCAGUUAAUCACAAUGAGCUAGGGAUGGAGAAACGAAGUUUUAAUUCAAUUAGCUGGCAUAACCAGGAAGAUGGUAGACUAAUGUCUCAAAAAAACAUCUUCAAGGACACAUUGAUUCUCCCUCUGGUGGCCAGGGCAAUUUAUAAUAGCUACCUGAGCAAGCUCGGUAACAGUACUAAGCAGUUUUAAAACUUUAGGGCCAUGUGUGACCUUCUUUUUUCCUGCUGUUAAGAGUCUUCUUUCCUUCCAGAUUGUCCCGUGAGCAUGAACUAUAACAAAGGCAUAACAGAAAUAUGUGUAUAUAUUUACUCUUUUCCCUUGAGUUAGAUGUAGAGCCCAAGUGAGGGCGAUGAUUUCUGCCUUUUGAGCUGAUGUCCCUGUGGGUAGCGCUUUAGCCUCUAAAGUCUCUUGUAAAGUUAUGACCACGUAUCCCACGCGUCUCUUAUCUUGAUCCAUGAAGCUAUUGCCAUCUGUGAAGAGUUCCAAGUCCGGUGUUUCCAGUGGACAGUCCAACAAAUCAGGUCGGCUAGAAUACACUGUCUCCAUAACUUGUAAGCAGUCAUGUUCUAAGGCUUCUGAUGUCUCAUUAGGGAGCAAGGUGGCUGGGUUUGGGGAGGAUGAUACUUGCAUCCGUACAUUUGGAUUGUCCAAAAGCAUGGUCUGGUAUUUGCCCAUCUGUCCUGAAGUGAGCCAGUAUCCCCCUUUUUGCUUCAAUAAUGUGAGUACUUGAUGUGGCACAUAUACCACGGUGGGUUGGCCCAGGGUGAAUUUUUCAGCUUCCUGCAGGAUGUCACAGGUAGCAGCCACUGCCCUGAGGCAUGCAUGGAUCAGACU